rnacentral:rRNA from 1 species
UGCAAGUCGAGCGAACAGAUGAGAAGCUUGCUUCUCUGAUGUUAGCGGCGGACGGGUGAGUAACACGUGGGUAACCUACCUAUAAGACUGGGAUAACUCCGGGAAACCGGGGCUAAUACCGGAUAAUAUAUUGAACCGCAUGGUUCAAUGUUGAAAGACGGUUUCGGCUGUCACUUAUAGAUGGACCCGCGCCGUAUUAGCUAGUUGGUAAGGUAACGGCUUACCAAGGCAACGAUACGUAGCCGACCUGAGAGGGUGAUCGGCCACACUGGAACUGAGACACGGUCCAGACUCCUACGGGAGGCAGCAGUAGGGAAUCUUCCGCAAUGGGCGAAAGCCUGACGGAGCAACGCCGCGUGAGUGAUGAAGGUCUUAGGAUCGUAAAACUCUGUUGUUAGGGAAGAACAAAUUUGUUAGUAACUGAACAAGUCUUGACGGUACCUAACCAGAAAGCCACGGCUAACUACGUGCCAGCAGCCGCGGUAAUACGUAGGUGGCAAGCGUUAUCCGGAAUUAUUGGGCGUAAAGCGCGCGUAGGCGGUUUCUUAAGUCUGAUGUGAAAGCCCACGGCUCAACCGUGGAGGGUCAUUGGAAACUGGGGAACUUGAGUGCAGAAGAGGAGAGUGGAAUUCCAUGUGUAGCGGUGAAAUGCGCAGAGAUAUGGAGGAACACCAGUGGCGAAGGCGGCUCUCUGGUCUGUAACUGACGCUGAUGUGCGAAAGCGUGGGGAUCAAACAGGAUUAGAUACCCUGGUAGUCCACGCCGUAAACGAUGAGUGCUAAGUGUUAGGGGGUUUCCGCCCCUUAGUGCUGCAGCUAACGCAUUAAGCACUCCGCCUGGGGAGUACGACCGCAAGGUUGAAACUCAAAGGAAUUGACGGGGACCCGCACAAGCGGUGGAGCAUGUGG